UAUAUUUCAGAUUGGGAAUCAAGAUGGACAAACAAGGAAUUAUCAUCAAAGAAGGAUCUUUAUGAUGAAUAUUCAUCCCAAACAGUAAUAAUACAAAAAGCUGUAAAACAAGGUUAUGAAUUUUCAAAUUCUAUGAAGAAUUUGGAAUAUAUAGAAUGCAACCCAUUUAGAAGCACCUAUUCUUCAAAGGUUACUGUUUCUGAACCACAAAAAAAUUCUGCUGAAGGGAAUUCACACAAAUAUAUAUUAAAGAAGAAUUUACCAAAAAAGUCAGUUGUGAAAAAUGAGAAAAUCAGUGGUGGAAAGAAACUUUUGAAUUCUAAUGAAAGUGGGGCAGCCUUCAACCAGAGCAAAUCUCUUACCCUUUCCCAGACUUGUGAUGGAGAGAAAAUCUAUACAUGCAGCGAAUGUGGGAAAGCCUUUGGCAAACAGUCAGUCCUCAAUCGCCACUGGAGAAUUCAUACAGGAGAGAAGCCCUAUGAAUGUCGUGAAUGUGGGAAGACUUUAGCCAUGGCUCAUCCCUUACACGACAUCAGAUAAGCCAUAGUGGAGAGAAACCAUAUGAAUGUACAAACUGUGGAAAGUCUUUUAGUCGUGUUUCCCUUCUCGUUCAACAUCUAAGAAUUCAUACACAAGAAAAACGCUAUGAGUGUCGUAUAUGUGGAAAGGCUUUCAUUCAUAGUUCAUCUCUCAUUCACCAUCAGAAGAGCCAUACUGGAGAGAAGCCUUAUGAAUGCAGUGAAUGUGGGAAAGCUUUCUGCUGUAGCUCACACCUUACUCAACAUCAAAGAAUUCACACUAUAAAGAAAAAAUAUGAAUGCAACAAAUGUCUGAAAGUCUUUAGUAGCCUCUCA